rnacentral:rRNA from 1 species
AGAGUUUGAUCAUGGCUCAGAUUGAACGCUGGGCGGCAGGGCUUAACACAUGCAAGUCGAGGCGGUAACAGGGGUAGCUUGCUACCCGCUGACGAGCGGCGGACGGGUGAGUAAUGCUUAGGAAUCUGCCCAGUAGUGGGGGAUAGCCCGGGGAAACCCGGAUUAAUACCGCAUACGUCCUACGGGAGAAAGCAGGGGAUCUUCGGACCUUGCGCUAUUGGAUGAGCCUAAGUCGGAUUAGCUAGUUGGUGGGGUAAAGGCCUACCAAGGCGACGAUCCGUAGCUGGUCUGAGAGGAUGAUCAGCCACAUCGGGACUGAGACACGGCCCGAACUCCUACGGGAGGCAGCAGUGGGGAAUAUUGGACAAUGGGGGCAACCCUGAUCCAGCCAUGCCGCGUGUGUGAAGAAGGCUUUCGGGUUGUAAAGCACUUUCAGUAGGGAGGAAAACCUUAUGGCUAAUACCCAUGAGGCUUGACGUUACCUACAGAAGAAGCACCGGCUAACUCCGUGCCAGCAGCCGCGGUAAUACGGAGGGUGCAAGCGUUAAUCGGAAUUACUGGGCGUAAAGCGCGCGUAGGUGGUUUGGUAAGCGAGAUGUGAAAGCCCCGGGCUUAACCUGGGAACGGCAUUUCGAACUGUCAGACUAGAGUGUGGUAGAGGGUAGUGGAAUUUCCUGUGUAGCGGUGAAAUGCGUAGAUAUAGGAAGGAACACCAGUGGCGAAGGCGGCUACCUGGACCAACACUGACACUGAGGU